rnacentral:rRNA from 1 species
AGAUUAAACUGAAGAGUUUGAUCAUGGCUCAGAUUGAACGCUGGCGGCAGGCCUAAUACAUGCAAGUCGAGCGGAAACGAUGGGAGCUUGCUCCCAGGCGUCGAGCGGCGGACGGGUGAGUAACGCGUAGGAAUUUGCCCAAUAGAGGGGGAUAGCCCGAGGAAACUCGGAUUAAUACCGCAUACGCCCUACGGGGGAAAGGCUGGGAUCUUCGGACCAGUCACUAUUGGAGAAGCCUGCGUAAGAUUAGCUUGUUGGUGGGGUAAAGGCCUACCAAGGCGACGAUCUUUAGCUGGUCUGAGAGGAUGAUCAGCCACANNGGGACUGAGACACGGCCCNNACUCCUACGGGAGGCAGCAGUNGGGAAUAUUGGACAAUGGGGGCAACCCUGAUCCAGCAAUACCGCGUGUGUGAAGAAGGCCUGAGGGUUGUAAAGCACUUUCAAUUGUGAAGAAAAGUUAACGGUUAAUAACCGUUAGCCU